CGUUACCAGGCGGAAGAAGCAGAGUGGCAGAGCCGCAGCGCUUGAUUCCGGGAGGCUGGGUGCUUCACUGCUGCAAGUGCAUCUUGGCUCAGAAGCUGUGUGGGGAGAAUUCCCGUUGACCUUUGAAGAGCCACUGUCCAGUGUCUGCCCGGGGGCAGUGAGUGGCCCAGGAUUACUGCUGGAACCAGACCGAAUGACUCAGAAGUUCCUUCCCCAUCCAAUGAUGCUUGUGAGAAAGCCAAGAUUCUCUGCAAGUGAUCUGAUCUUAGGGCUGAAACAGAGCGUCACCGGCUCUGUGUAUUUAUUAUGUUUUAAUAACAAGGAAAAGGAUCCCCAGCACUGAGCUGAGUCACAAGAAGGAGUGUCUGGUACACCUGGUGUCCAGAAGAAACUACACCUGGG
rnacentral:lncRNA from 1 species